AUUUUGGUUAGUCUAUUCCCUGUCCUACAUUUAUCUAGUCCCCCUAACCCCCAACUCCUGAAAGACCCCCAAAGAGGGGAGACCCUCACUAAAGUCUUGGGAUGACUCGAUCCGCCAAGAACUCACAAAAGACC
rnacentral:pre_miRNA from 7 species